UUUAGCUGGGCAUCUCCUCGGCAGCUACCCAGAACUAAAAGUAAACAUCUAAACUACCUGAGUCGAUUUAUAGACCAGUUCUUUUACUUCUACUUUAGUAAAUUCAAACCAGAGUAAUUGCACUUUAACUUGACUACCACAGUAUUUAUACUCCCUCCACCUCUGGUCACAUCCCCACUGAUUAGUAAAUAUUACAAAGAAAAACAUGGCGGCUCGUUACUACCUGAAACUGAUUACGCCGGCUUCACCGUCAGAACAGACAUGGUUGACUCUGGCAAAAAGAGAGCGAGAGACAAGAAGAAAGAGACCAUCACAAUCAAGGAAAGCUCUGCAUGUGAAACGAGACACUGGCAGUCUCAAAGAUGGUCUUUAGAGAGCCACCAGAUGACAGAUGCUGAGUGAAAGUUGCCAUAUUUGGAGCAGCCCUCCCCUCUGCCUGGGGGCUUCUUGUUGCAUAACCCUCCGCGGUCAUCAUCAUGUUUUCCGUCUGAAGCAGAAUGACUGGCCUGUAGAGCCGAGUGUUUUCCAUGUGAAGCCUCGGGGCUGCGGGCUGAAGCGCUGGUGGUUGGGUCCGACACACAGGCCUCUUGAGAAACUCCAGGAUGUCAUUACUUUGAGUGACUGCUGCUGUGUGUGUUUGGGCCUCUGUUUGCUCUUUUUGGCUUGUUGCCUCUGUACCUACCUCUCUGAGAAGCCCUGUCUCUAUUUUUUAACUCAUGUGUAGCAACACCUUCCAGAGCUUUGAUACAGAAAUAGACCUGCAGCUGUGGAGAAAGGACAGACACCCUGCUGGGUGUUAACUAAGUGAAUAUCAUCAGGUAUUAUCAACCUGCAAUCAAUUAUUUUUCCACCACUUGGGGGCAACAUAAGUAAGGUUCUGGUCACAAUAUUGACACAAAAUCUUCCCUCAAUACCUUUAUGAUGCUAAAGAAGUAGUAAACAGGGUUUAAUUAUGACAGGAAUCGAGCAUCAGCAUCUCUCCUAACCAACAAUUCAGGGUCUCUCCCAAUAGUCCACAGCUAUGGUGGUCGUCUGCUCAGUGCUUAGUAUCCCCCACUCCGAGAGCUGCUGGACUAUACACCAUGAAGGCUACGGCAAAUAAAACUAAACUAAAUCUAAAAAUGAGCUGAACCUUUGCAAUUAGAUAUGAUACAUUUAUUAAAAUUCAACACAAUAUAAAUGGAUAUGAUUUGAAAUGAUCAAUGAUAAAAUAAUCAAUACAGGCGAUAUGACUGGAUACAAUACAAUUUGAUACAAUACAUUUGUUUUGAUAUGAUACGGUAGAUAGAUACAGUAAAAUUAAUAUGAUUUGAUAUAUGGUUUGAUACA